rnacentral:rRNA from 11 species
GCGAUGGGGUGACACAGGAAGGUAGCCCAACCACAGCGAUGGUUGUCUGUGGGCAAGCGUGUAGGACGUGGUGUAGGCAAAUCCGCACCAUCCACUUCAGUGUGGAGUCUGAGACGUGAUGCGGAGCCGUAUGGCGAAGUGGGUGAUCCUAUGCUGUCGAGAAAAACCUCUAGCGAGUAACGAGCCGCCCGUACCCCAAACCG